AGAAGAAAUAUUUUAGCCCAUUUGGUGAGUUCUUAAAGCAACUAUUUUUUUUCACAUCUAUAUGGUAUAUUAUAAAUCCAAACAAGCUAAUAGCUUCUCUGUUGUACGGAGUACAUCCUUAGCAUAUUUCUGGGCGUGGUUAACAUUGUCUGUGGAAUUUGUUCAAUGCCUCUUGGAUCUCAAGUUUUGGCAGUCGCUAAAAAUCCCUGGAAGAUGCUAUCAAAGGGCCAUUAUAUUGCUUCAAAAGUGUCUUUUAUGUUGUAUUGACAGAAGGCAUGAGACGUGAGGUGACUAGAGUUUAGUAGGGCCUAGCAGCUAAAAUAUAAUUGUUAGAAGCUACUACGAUGAAGGGGAGCCUUGGCGCAGUGGUAAAGCUGCUGCCUUGUGACCAUGAGGUCAUGGGUUCAAGUCCUGGAAACAGCCUCUUACAGAAAUGUAGGGAAAGGCUGCGUACUAUAGACCCAAAGUGGUCGGACCCUUCCCUGGACCCUGCGCAAGCGGGAGCUACAUGCACCAGGUUGCCCUUUUUUUUUUAGAAGCUACUACGAUAACUCCUUUUUGAACAUAUUCUGGGAUCAUAAUGUUGUUUCCUUUUUUUGAGAGGGACUCUGUGACAUGAUUAAGUCAUAAGAAGAGCUCCAAUCAGUCUGUUUUAGAAUUUAAUAGAACUGUCUAUGUUGGCUUUAAAUAUGCCAAGACUUGUAUUUGUAUCACUUUCAGUUUAUCAGCAUCAUGAUUAAGUCGAAAGAAGUUGUUAUCUGUCUGUUUUAAAAUUAUAGAACUGCCUAUGUUGGCUUCAAUAUGCAAAGAAUCAUAUUUCUAUCACUUUCAGUUUAUCAACAUCAAUGAGUCUACCUUAAAAGAAAAGAAAAACCAUCAUGAGUCGGGCUCACCGCUAGCCGCAUUUUAUGGGCAUAUUUAUUAACUAUUGUAGCCUAUGCUGCUCACAUAGUUUUAUGGUAUAUUAUGAUUCUCCUACUACUGUAGCUUGUUUUUCUGUUUACAUAUCGUUAGAGGAACAAAUUCAAACGAAUUGCCGCUACCCGUUGCUCUACACAAAAUGCAAGUCAGGACAGAGACUAGGCUCUUCAAUCCUUAACAAUCGUGUCAUUCUUUGAAGUUUCUACUUGAUUUUUAAUCUCAUGGAGUAUAUAAGUACAUUGUGUUAUUUUGAAUUCUGGCAUCUCACAAGUCUAAUGUUUUCAAGUCAUUGAGUUUCUUUUGGGCUUUCUUUCUAGAAAGAAAGAACAAAGAAAGAAAGAACAAUCCCAUGGAGCACAAUAUAUUGUCUGCUGGAUAAAAGAAUACUGAAAUAGGGUAGCAUUAUGUCAUUUUUUUGUGGUUAUGGAAGUUCAUAGUAUGUGAGGUACCUGGGAGCCUACUUGCAGGCUAUUUUAAUAAACCGACGAAAUAAUAUUUUCAGAAAAUGAUACCUAAUAGUAGUGUAUGUUCAAACAUUAAUCCCGAGGACUCACCGGCACAAGGGACUUUUUCUGAGGUUACUUUUGAAAUGGCUAGUGUUCGUCUGUCCGUUUUUGUUUAGAAAUGUUAUCAAGUAUCAUCACCAUUUUCCUGGCAAUGGCUGCGUUUCUUAACUUUGGCUCUUUUUUCGCUUAUCAGGAAGCUCUCCAGUUGCCCAGUGCAGUUGGCCUCGUCCUCAGAGUCUCUAUACCGUGAUCCGUCCACCGCUGAGAGUAUUUCUGGAUAUCCAGGGCAUAAUGUUUAACUGCUUAUACGUGGGUUUAGAUGCACGCUCUUCAGUCUGAGAAAUGGAAUGAUCUGUAUAUUGUUUCCAUGAACAUGAAACUUGUCGAGGUUUAAAUCUUGUGGAUAAUGACGUAUACCUUUUCUCGCAACAUCCUUCUCUCUCUACGACUACGUGCGUUGUUGUGUCUUUCAUAUACAAAUGCGGUGCUCGGGUCAUUGGUUCUGUAUGUCUAUUCUGCAGUAUUAGGCUGCAACAUGACUCCUAACGGUGGUUGCACUGAAAAGGUACCACACGUAGCUGGGGAGUUGUAUGCUGUAUAUAUUAACCUUUUGUGCACUUGCAAUGCGUGCUACGCGUGUUUGAACUUUGAGACCACUUUUUGAACAACCAACCAUGGAUCACUAGGUUGUUA
rnacentral:lncRNA from 1 species